GACGAACGCUGGCGGCGUGCUUAACACAUGCAAGUCGAACGGAAAGGCCCUGCUUUUGUGGGGUGCUCGAGUGGCGAACGGGUGAGUAACACGUGAGUAACCUGCCCUUGACUUUGGGAUAACUUCAGGUAACUGGGGCUACUACCGGAUAGGAGCUCCUGCUGCAUGGUGGGGGUUGGAACGUUUCGGCGGUUGGGGAUGGACUCGCGGCUUAUCAGCUUGCUGGUGGGGUAGUGGCUUACCAAGGCUUUGACGGGUAGCCGGCCUGAGAGGGUGACCGGCAACAUUAGGACUGAGAUAGGGCCCAGACUCCUACGGGAGGCAGCAGGGGGGAAUAUUGCACAAUGAGCGGAAGCCUGAUGCAGCAACGACGCGUGCGGGAUGACGGCCUUCGGGUAGUAAAACGCUUUCGCCUGUGACGAAGCGGGAGUGACGGUAAUGGAUAAAGAAGCACCGGCUAACUACGUG
rnacentral:rRNA from 1 species